rnacentral:rRNA from 1 species
AUUGAACGCUGGCGGCAGGCCUAACACAUGCAAGUCGAGCGGCAGCGGGAAAGUAGCUUGCUACUUUUGCCGGCGAGCGGCGGACGGGUGAGUAAUGCCUGGGAAAUUGCCCAGUCGAGGGGGAUAACAGUUGGAAACGACUGCUAAUACCGCAUACGCCCUACGGGGGAAAGCAGGGGACCUUCUGGCCUUGCGCGAUUGGAUAUGCCCAGGUGGGAUUAGGUAGUUGGUGAGGUAAUGGCUCACCAAGGCGACGAUCCCUAGCUGGUCUGGGAGGAGUAUCAGCCACACUGGAACUGAGACACGGUCCAGACUCCUACGGGAGGCAGCAGUGGGGAAUAUUGCACAAUGGGGGAAACCCCGAUGCAGCCAUGCCGCGUGUGUGAAGAAGGCCUUCGGGUUGUAAAGCACUUUUAGCGAGGAGGAGGCUACUAGUACUAAUACUACUGGAUAGUGGACGUUACUCGCAGAAUAAGCACCGGCUAACUCUGUGCCAGCCGCCGCAGUAAAAC